UCAUCUCAGCAAGCUUAGUGACCUCCAUGCCUAUAAAUUGAGAGUGGACCCAGGAAACUUCAAGUUGCUGUCUAAUUGCAUCCUUGCAGUACUGGCUAUACACUUCCCAGAGCAAUUCACAAUAACUGCUCAUGCUGGAUGGGAUAAGUUCCUCUCUGCUAUUUCAACUGUCCUGACUUCAAAGUACAGAUAAAAUGUCUGGGGAAAAAGUAAAACCUCCCAUGAAACUUUUUUGAUGUUUAAAACUAUAACUUUUUAUAUAUGGGAGUUAUACUAAUAAAUGAUAUUUGACAAAAUAAAAA